ensembl:rRNA 5S_rRNA 5S ribosomal RNA
GUCUAUGGCCAUACCACCCUGAACACACCUGAUCUCGUAAGCUAAGCAGGGUCGGGCCUGGUUAGUACCUGGAUGGGAGAAACACACUAGCUCAGCCUCUCAAAUACUCAAAUAAGGAAACGGAUUCAAAAAACU